rnacentral:rRNA from 1 species
UACGAAGGGGGCUAGCGUUGUUCGGAAUUACUGGGCGUAAAGCGCGUGUAGGCGGGUCUUUAAGUCAGGGGUGAAAUCCUGGAGCUCAACUCCAGAACUGCCUUUGAUACUGAGAAGCUUGAGUCCGGGAGAGGUGAGUGGAACUGCGAGUGUAGAGGUGAAAUUCGUAGAUAUUCGCAAGAACACCAGUGGCGAAGGCGGCUCACUGGCCCGGUACUGACGCUGAGGUGCGAAAGCGUAGGGAGCAAACAGG